CAGCCGCCGCGGGAAUACGGAGGGGGCUAGCGUUGUUCGGAAUUACUGGGCGUAAAGCGCACGUAGGCGGCUUGGUAAGUUAGAGGUGAAAGCCUGGAGCUCAACUCCAGAAUUGCCUUUAAGACUGCCGAGCUAGCAGGUGAGAGAGGUAAGUGGAAUUCCGAGUGUAGAGGUGAAAUUCGUAGAUAUUCGGAAGAACACCAGUGGCGAAGGCGGCUUACUGGCUCAUACUGGACGCUGAGGUGCGAAAGCGUGGGGAGCAAACAGGAUUAGAUACCCGUGUAGUCCCUGUCUCUUAUAC
rnacentral:rRNA from 1 species